UGGCAGCUGUAGCAAUACAGUAUGUGCUUAGCGGCAGACGGGUGAGUAACACGUAGACAAUCUACCUCUUAGAGGGGGAUAGCCAAUCGAAAGGUUGGGUAAUACCGCGUACGAUCAUGAUUCGGCAUCGGAUUAUGAUGAAACAUCCGCAAGGAUGGCUAAGAGAGGAGUCUGCGGCCUAUCAGCUUGUUGGCGGGGUAAUGGCCCACCAAGGCAACGACGGGUAUCCGACCUGAAAGGGUGACCGGACACACUGACACUGAGACACGGGUCAGACUCCUACGGGAGGCAGCAGUGAGGAAUUUUGGACAAUGGGGGCAACCCUGAUCCAGCGACGCCGCGUGAAGGAUGAAGGUCUUCGGAUUGUAAACUUCUUUUGUUUGGGAAUAAGAGUACCGAUGAAAAUCGGGACGUGAAUGUACCAGAUGAAUAAGCCACGGCUAACUUCGUGCCAGCAGCCGCGGUAAUACGAAGGUGGCAAGCGUUACUCGGAAUUACUAGGCGUAAAGGGCAGGUAGGCGGUUUGAUAUGUCCGUUGUGAAAGCUCCCGGCUUAACCGGGAGAGGUCAAUGGAUACUGUCGAACUUGAGUAUGGGAGAGGGUACUGGAAUUCCUGGUGUAGCGGUGAAAUGCGCAGAGAUCAGGAGGAACACCGAUGGCGAAAGCAGGUACCUGGACCAUUACUGACGCUCAGCUGCGAAAGCUAGGGGAGCAAACAGGAUUAGAUACCCUGGUAGUCCUAGCCGUAAACGAUGCACAUUAGGCGUGAGGGGUAUCGACCCCCUUCGUGCCGACGCAAACGCAUUAAAUGUGCCGCCUGGGGAGUAC
rnacentral:rRNA from 1 species